rnacentral:rRNA from 1 species
UAGGGAAUCUUCGGCAAUGGACGGAAGUCUGACCGAGCAACGCCGCGUGAGUGAAGAAGGUUUUCGGAUCGUAAAGCUCUGUUGUUAGAGAAGAACGUUGGUAGGAGUGGAAAAUCUACCAAGUGACGGUAACAACCAGAAAAGGACGGCUUACUCAGUGCCAGCAGCCGCGGUUAUACGUAGGUCCCGAUCGUUGUCCGGAUUUAUUGGGCGUAAAGCCAGCGCAGGCGGUUCUUUAAGUCUGAAGUUAAAGGCAGUGGCUUAACCAUUGUACGCUUUGGAAACUGGAGGACUUGAGUGCAGAAGGGGAGAGUGGAAUUCCAUGUGUAGCGGGGAAAUGCGUAGAUAUAUGGAGGAACACCGGUGGCGAAAGCGGCUCUCUGGUCUGUAACUGACGCUGAGGCUCGAAAGCGUGGGGAGCAAACAGG